AGAGUUUGAGUUAUGGCUCAGGAUGAACGCUGGCGGCGUGCUUAACACAUGCAAGUCGAACGGAGCCUAUCGAGUGCUUGCACUUGAGAAAGCUUAGUGGCGGACGGGUGAGGUAACGCGUGGGGUAACCUGCCCUGUACCGGGGGGAGUAACAGUUGGAAACGGCUGCUAAUACCGCAUAAGCCCACAGCACCGCAUGGUGCAGGGGGAAAAACUCCGGUGGUACAGGAUGGACCCGCGUCUGAUUAGCUAGUUGGUGAGGUAACGGCCCACCAAGGCGACGAUCAGUAGCCGGCCUGAGAGGGUGAACGGCCACAUUGGGACUGAGACACGGCCCAAACUCCUACGGGAGGCAGCAGUGGGGAAUAUUGCACAAUGGGGGAAACCCUGAUGCAAGCGACGCCGCGUGAGUGAUGAAGUAUUUCGGUAUGUAAAACUCUAUCAGCAGGGAAGAAAAUGACGGUACCUGACUAAGAAGCACCGGCUAAAUACGUGCCAGCCGCCGC
rnacentral:rRNA from 1 species